rnacentral:rRNA from 1 species
GACGAACGCUGGCGGCGUGCCUAAUACAUGCAAGUAGGACGCAGUUGCGAACGGGUGAGUAACGCGUAGGUAACUGCCUCUUAGAGGGGGAUAACUAUUGGAAACGAUAGCUAAUACCGCAUACUAGUAGAUGGACCUGCGUUGUAUUAGGUAGUAGGUAGGGUAAUGGCCUACCUAGGCAACGAGACAUAGCCGACCCGUAGGGGUGUUCGGCCACCCUGGGACUGGGACACGGCCCAGAGUCCUACGGUGAGCAGCAGUAGGGAAGCUUCGGCAAUGGGGGGAACCCUGACCGGGCAACGCCGCGUGAGUGAAGAAGGUUUUCUGAUCGUAAAGCUCUGUUGUUAAGGAAGCGGUACUUAACCAGAAAGGGACGGCUAACUACGUGCCAGCAGCCGCGGUAAUAC